rnacentral:rRNA from 1 species
AUUAAACGCUGGCGGCAUGCCUUACACAUGCAAGUCGAACGGUAACGCGGGGCAACCUGGCGACGAGUGGCGAACGGGUGAGUAAUGUAUCGGAACGUGCCCAGUAGUGGGGGAUAGCCCGGCGAAAGCCGGAUUAAUACCGCAUACGACCUGAGGGUGAAAGCGGGGGAUCGCAAGACCUCGCGCUAUUGGAGCGGCCGAUAUCAGAUUAGCUAGUUGGUGGGGUAAAGGCCUACCAAGGCGACGAUCUGUAGCUGGUCUGAGAGGACGACCAGCCACACUGGGACUGAGACACGGCCCAGACUCCUACGGGAGGCAGCAGUGGGGAAUUUUGGACAAUGGGCGAAAGCCUGAUCCAGCCAUGCCGCGUGCGGGAAGAAGGCCUUCGGGUUGUAAACCGCUUUUGUCAGGGAAGAAAAGGCUCGAACUAAUACUUUGGGCUCAUGACGGUACCUGAAGAAUAAGCACCGGCUAACUACGUGCCAGCAGCCGCCGUAACAC